rnacentral:lncRNA from 1 species
UUUCAUAUGGACAAAAAUAGGUCACGCAACAAAAAAUCAUCAAUAGUUUAGCAAGUUUGUACCCUCAAGAAUGAACAUAUAGCAAUAUCUGUUGUCCCCCCAUAACAUACGGAAAUCAAAAUCAGCUCAACUUAGAUGACUAGCUAACUCAUUUUUCACAUAGCAAUAUCUGUUGUCCCCCCAUUGUACCUAAAGAACUAGCGGCUGCUGCUCCUC